UACGUAGGGUGCGAGCGUUGUUCGGAAUUACUGGGCGUAAAGGGCGCGUAGGCGGCGACUCAAGUUAGUUGUGAAAGUCCUGGGCUUAACCUGGGGACUGCAUUUGAUACUGGGUUGCUUGAAUUCGGGAGAGGAUAGCGGAAUUCCCAGUGUAGAGGUGAAAUUCGUAGAUAUUGGGAAGAACACCGGUGGCGAAGGCGGCUAUCUGGACCGACAUUGACGCUGAGGCGCGAAAGCGUGGGGAGCAAACAGG
rnacentral:rRNA from 1 species